rnacentral:rRNA from 1 species
AGAGUUUGAUCCUGGCUCAGGACGAACGCUGGCGGCGUGCUUAACACAUGCAAGUCGAACGAUUCCUGGUCUUCGGAUCAGGUUUAGUGGCGAACGGGUGAGUAACACGUGGGCAACCUGCCCUCCACUCUGGGAUAACUCCGGGAAACCGGGGCUAAUACUGGAUACGACCCUCCCUCGCAUGGGGGUGGGUGGAAAGU